rnacentral:lncRNA from 1 species
UGAAAAAAAAAAAACCAAAACAAAAAAUGUCAUACCUUGCUAGUAGUGAAUAAGACUUGUGAAGAAAUGAAAAGUCACAAACAACAGAGAGAAGAAAUGAAGUAGAGAGAUGAGUGAAAUAUGAGUAUUUGAGAAGAGGGAGAGACGGAUAAAAUAAGGGUAAAAAAGUAAUGUUAAAAAUUUGAUGUUUCAUUCCAUUUGAUACCCCCCAAAAAGUAAUAUUACAAAUCUUUCACCUGUUUGGAAAUUAAAAAGGAGAAGAAGUUUUACUUUGGUUUGUGUUACAAUUUUUACGGUUUAUGAAAUGAAAUUCUAUCUUAAACAACAGAAAUGAAAAUUGAAUUAAAUAGGCAAAAUACCUCUGGUCAUUACUCUUGCUUUAAAGAUUUUUCUUGUUUGAGGAUUACUCUUGCUUGAGGAUGUUGAGGGUUCUUCUAAACCAUCUUCUAUAAUCUCACUUCACUUUGAUAGUGUAAGUUUACUAAAUGAGAUGUCAGGUUUAAGGAACCAAUACAAAAGAAUUGCACGACUUAUAUAACUUUUGUCCAUCAAGAAGUUAUUAUACGUGCAUCAGAUAUUAACUGCUUACUAUCUCUUAAUGGUGCAAUUACUAUAAUUGACGGAAAGAAUAAAGACAGAGGUUUAAUGAAAAAUUACCAUAAUGUGCACUUAAUGGGUAAUUUUCACUUAUUUAAAUUAAUAAAUAAGUGGAAAAGAAGAUAAAUUCAACAUUCUUCCACUUAGUCGACAUAUAUAUUAUUUCACUCACAAUAAUAAGAAACAAAAUGUCCAUUAUAAUAUCGAUUACUAUUUUCUAUGUAUCAUAAUGUAAAAUAUCUCUAACCAAAUUAUAUAACUUAAUAAAUAAACUCAUAACUUCUAUUUACUCAGGUUCCAAAAUCAAAUAUGUAAACUUUAAAAGUUAAAAGUUAAAACAUGAGAAAAUAUCAUACGUAGUUUCAUA